rnacentral:rRNA from 1 species
AGACGGGACCGCACAAGCGGUGGAUGAUGUGGUUUAAUUCGAUGCAACGCGAAAACCUUACCCACCUUUGACAUGGCAGGAAUCCUGAAGAGAUUUGGGAGUGCUCGAAAGAGAACCUGCACACAGGUGCUGCAUGGCUGUCGUCAGCUCGUGUCGUGAGAUGUUGGGUUAAGUCCCGCAACGAGCGCAACCCUUGUCAUUAAUUGCCAUCAUUCAGUUGGGCACUUUAAUGAGACUGCCGGUGACAAACCGGAGGAAGGUGGGGAUGACGUCAAGUCCUCAUGGCCCUUAUGGGUAGGGCUUCACACGUAAUACAAUGGUCGGUACAGAGGGUUGCCAACCCGCGAGGGGGAGCCAAUCCCAGAAAACCGAUCGUAGUCCGGAUUGCAGUCUGCAACUCGACUGCAUGAAGUCGGAAUCGCUAGUAAUCGCGGAUCAGCAUGUCGCGGUGAAUACGUUCCCGGGCCUU